GCUGAAGAGUACAGACCUCCAUUUGGUUCUGCUUUAGAUCCUGCCUCACUGCAACUUGUCCUCAUCCCAGACUGCUGACCCUGAUCCUGGUUUAUUGUCUUCGGCUUAAGAUCAUUGCUGCCUGGUGAAAGAUCCUGGUGUGGCGCAAUCCCAAUUCUUGCUGGUUACUCUAUUUGAUAGAUGCAUCUGAUGUCAGCCUUGGAGCCAUACUGUCAUAAGAGAUGGGGUGAGAGGAACAUCCUGUCCUCUCUCUUAGCAGGAAGUUGUCUCCCUGGAAGGAAGUCACCUACCUGGUGAUCGAGAAGGAAGACCUAGCAGUAAAGUGGGCUGUAGAAGCCCUGCACUGCUACCUAUGGAGUCACCCCUUUCAUCUAGUGACUGACCAUGCACCUCUACAGUCUAUGAAGGUCACCAACUCCCAAGUCAUGCAGUGGUAUUUGUCUCUCCAGCCAUACUACGUUGAAGUGCUAUAUCAAACCAGCAAGGACCAUAAAAUGCAAUUCUUUUCAUGAGAUGAGGGGGGUACUCUUAGCACGUCUGCCCAGAGCUGAAGGGGAGGGUGUGUGAUGAGGUUUACAAACCCCACACUAACCCAAAGCAAGGCAUAGGCCAGUACUAAGCUAGGGAGGCCCUGCCCCUCAGCAGCUGUGAGGCAUGCUCUGGAUAGAGAGAGAGUUUAAAAGGGCACUAGCAGCCAGGGGAUAGAAUUGAUGUUAAAGCAUGGAGCUAGGGGCAGAGUGACUAUGGCUCUGAUAAGACCACUAUGGAAGUAGUGGCCUCCCUUCAGAGGUGGGCACUCACGAGAGGCCUCAAAAAACAGGACAUUACCCUAUCAGGCAGGCUAAACUGCUACUACUAAAACUGUGACCAUGCUCCAAAGGGAGGAGCUGGAGCCCACUAGGACAAGACCCAGGGGGAAGUAUAACUUGGGGUAAACCAACAGGUGGUCUGGACACUGCCACACCCCUUGAAUGCCCUGGGCUGGGACCCGGUAGAGCCUUCCCCCACUCCCUCUGUCAU